rnacentral:rRNA from 1 species
GACGAAGGGGGCAAGCGUUGUUCGGAAUUACUGGGCGUAAAGGGCGCGUAGGCGGUUCUUUAAGUCAGGCGUGAAAGCCCUGGGCUCAACCUGGGAGUGGCGCUUGAUACUGGAGGACUAGAGAGUGGGAGAGGUUGGUGGAAUUCCCAGUGUAGAGAUGAAAUUCGUAGAUAUUGGGAAGAACACCGGUGGCGAAGGCGGCCAACUGGACCAUUUCUGACGCUGAGGCGCGAAAGCGUGGGGAGCAAACAGG